rnacentral:misc_RNA from 1 species
AACUUUUGGCAACGGAUCACUUGGCUCUCGCAUCGAUGAAGAACGCAGCGAAAUGCGAUACGUAAUGUGAAUUGCAGAAUUCCGUGAAUCAUUGAAUCUUUGAACGCACCUUGCGCCCCUUGGUAUUCUGAGGGGCAUGCCUGUUUGAGUGUAAUUGAACUCUCAACUUGACUAGAGUCUUUUUUGAUUCGAGUCAUGCUUGGAAUUGGAGUGUGCUGGCCCCCUUCACAAGGGGGUCGGCUCCUCUGAAAAGCAUUAGCGAAACCCUCCGGGUUCUAUGUGCGCUUUGGCAUUGAUAAUUGUCUAUGCCCUUAUGGCCACCAGAAUUCAAAACCUUUCCGCUUACAAUGGUCCUUUCGGGGACAAACACCUUUUGACAAUCACCUCAAAUCAGGUAGGACUACCCGCUGAACUUAAGCAUAUCAAUAAGCGGAGGCU